CACACACACACAGAGCGUGAAUGCAGCCUGUGCGGGUGAUGAGGACAGCAAAAUGCUCUCGCUGCUUCUCAUCCUCGGAAAACGUAUUUUGGCACCAAGGAACACAGAAGGUUCCUGUCUGGUUCUGAGCCUCUUCCUUCCCCCCAGGGGCAAGUUUCUGAUCUGAGCUCCGCUUUGCAAUCGUGGGUGAACUGACUGACACACGUUUCUGCGCCAAGGCUGCCAAUGAAAAGUUGUCAUGUGUAUCAGUUUCCUGCCAGUAGGCACUGAAAAGCAGUGGUGCCCCACGCUACGUCUCUGAAGGAGAGCAAACAAGCCACCUGUACCCUUCCCAGCGUGCAGCAUACUGAUAUGCAACAGCUAAGCUGACCUGGGCAGGCAAUUCAGCUCUUUCCUCUGAUCAGCGUUUCUGCUACGGCUGACCACAAAUCCCUUAGCAUCGUCUGGGACACCAUUAACUCCUCUUCCCGGGUUGGAGCCCAGAGCACAUGAAUUCAGCCCCCUUUUCUGUUCCACCAUAGCAGAAGGAAGAGUGCAGACCCAGAGAGACAAAAGAUUCCCGCCUUGUGCCAAAGCUAUAAAAGGGAGUGGAACAGAACAAAGGGGGCUGCAGUUAUGAGAAAUCCCCUAGUUACCACCUGAGCUGGAACUAACAAGAACUGUACCAGGGGAAAGGAUUGAGCCCAGACUAAGAAGUCUAGUCUGUGAAAGAAGCUUAUUGGAAAAUCUCUGAAGGUGAGAUUUACCUGUAUUCAACUUCUUAAAUGUAUUAGGCUUAGACUUGCGUGUUUUGUUUUAUUGUGCUUGGUAACUUACUUUGUUCUGUCUGUUAUUACUUGA